UUAUUGAGCAAUUUCAAUCCUCCCAGGUAUUAUUACAGAUUUCACAGAUGAGGAAACUGACGCCCAGCGAGGUUAUGACACGCACAGUGAGCAGCCGAACCAGAAAAUCCUUUGACGCUCUUGGCCCUGGGAUAGGAGGUGUGUGGCCCAUUUCCAGGGCGACCUACCCUCGUCUCUGGGUAACCUGGGGCAGAAACUGCCAUUGAAAUGACAUAGGAAUGGCUGUACAGCGCCCCCUGGUGGUCAUUUUGGGGCCAUUUUGCUCUAAUGCUGGGAGGAUUUCCAGAGAGGAAGGGAGAGUGAGAGACAGAAACAUCAAUGA